AGUUGAUGCUAUAAAUAGAAUAUAUCGGUUGACGAGACUUGUUUUUCAUUGGAUGCACUUUGAUCUCUCGAUCUUUAGUCACGUGUUCAUUUUGGUGGGAUUUUUCUGUUGUUCUUUUGUUCACAAGUCGCCAUACUGGAGGUGAGUGUGAUAUGUUUCCGUUGAAUCAUUUGUCUUGUUUAAAAGUUGUCAUGGAUUUUUAAAUUCUUACACCGGAUGUACGUCCUGGACGAUGUGGUGAAAUGGGAAAUGCCCAGUUGACGGUAUCUCUUCAUUCGAGCAGCGGUCUUUCUGCAGUCAUCGGCAGCACUUCAUUAUGAAGUUGAAGUAAUAAGGACUUGGAGAAGGAAGGGCAAAAUGAAUUGGAACAGCAUGCAAACAACACUGGAAUGGAUUUCUUUGUUCUCUCUUUGCGGAGACUUCAUUGUUGGAGAUGGUAUUACAAAGACUUGGAGGAGGCUGGGCAUAUAGGAUUGGAACUGCAUGCCAACAACGCUGGAGUGGAGGUAUUGCUAAGUCGUUUAGGAAGAGCAGAGGUGAGUUGGUUUCAUUAUCAUUUGUGCACUCUUACUAAUUAGUACUAACAUUUCCCUCCCCUCCCCCACUCUCAACACAUUUUUUGUAGUAGUUCUUUCCUUUUGUUUUUUGUUCUGUUGUUUUUUCUUUGUCUAAUCUUCUCUGUUCUCUCUUUGCCGGGAUGUCAUCGUUGGAGAUGGUGCACUUGGAGGCUGCUGGCUCUUCAUCGUUGGAGGAGGCUGGGCAUAUUGGAUUGGAACAGCAUGCCAACAACGCUGGAACAGAGGUAUUGCUUAGUUGUUAAGGAAAAGCAGAGGUGAGUUGGUUUCAUUAUCAUUUUUGCACUCUUACUAAUUAGUACUAACAUUUCCC